rnacentral:rRNA from 1 species
CAGUCGCCACGGGAAUACGGAGGGAGCUAGCAUUGCUCGGAAUUACUGGGCGUAAAGCGCGCGUAGGCGGUUACUCAAGUCAGAGGUGAAAGCCCGGGGCUCAACCCCGGAACUGCCUUUGAUACUGGGAGUCUUGAGUUCGAGAGAGGUGAGUGGAAUUGCGAGUGUAGAAGUGAAAUUCGUAGAUAUUCGCAGGAACACCAGUGGCGAAGGCGGCUCACUGGCUCGAUACUGACGCUGAGGUGCGAAAGCGUGGGGAGCAAACAGGAUUAGAUACCCCUGUAGUCCCUGUCUCUUAUAC